UUGAACGCUGGCGGCAGGCCUAACACAUGCAAGUCGAGCGGCAGCGCGGGGCAACCUGGCGGCGAGCGGCGGACGGGUGAGUAACGCGUAGGAAUCUACCCAGUAGCGGGGAUAGCCCGGGGAAACUCGGAUUAAUACCGCAUACGCCCUAAGGGGGAAAGCAGGGGAUCGUAAGACCUUGCACUAUUGGAAGAGGCUGCGUUGGAUUAGCUAGUUGGUAGGGUAAAGGCCUACCAAGGCGACGAUCCAUAACUGGUCUGAGAGGAUGCUCAGUCACACCGGAACUGAGACACGGUCCGGACUCCUACGGGAGGCAGCAGUGGGGAAUAUUGGACAAUGGGGGCAACCCUGAUCCAGCCAUGCCGCGUGUGGGAAGAAGGCCUUCGGGUUGUAAAGCACUUUAAGUGGGGAGAAAGGUUCGGCAAUUAAUACCCGCCGGAAGUGAUGUUACCCACAGAAUAAGCACCGGCUAACUCUGUGCCAGCCGCCGCGGUAA
rnacentral:rRNA from 1 species